GUUUCGGGCAAGAGGUGUCAUUUAUCAGUGCACCUUGGAGGAGGAGGAAGAUACUAAGUUAAAGAUGUUGGUGUGCACCAGAGAUCUCCCAGAGUACCUACCACCCUAAAUUCAAGGGGUAGAAGGAAGGAAAGAAGAAAGGGAGACAGGCUGGGAAGGAAUAACCUCACUUGCCCAGAAUGUAUUAUAUCGUUUUCUUCUCCUAUCAGGACAGAUUCACUGCGAAGGCUCAACGGUCAUGUUGAACAUAGCCCCAGAUUAUACAGCAUGAGGAUGAAGGAGACCUAGGAAAAAUCUCAACUCAUACCUCAG
rnacentral:lncRNA from 1 species